UUUUUUUUUUUUUUUUUUUUUUUUUUGAGAUGAAGUCUCGCUCUGUUGCCCAGGCUGGAGAGUGCAGUGGUACGGUCUCAGCUCACUGCAACCUCCACCUCCCAGGUUCAAGCGAUUCUCCAGCCUGAGCCUCCUGAGUAGCUGGGAUUACAGGUGCCUACCACCACGCCCAGGUAAUUUUUUUUUUUUUUGUAUUUUUAGUAGAGACGGGGUUUCACCAUGUUGGCCAGGCUGGUCUCGAACUCCUGACCUCAUGAUCCGCCCGUGUUGGCCUCCCAAAGUGUGGGAUUACAGGCGUAAGCCACCUCACCUGGCGGUACAAAGAAUUUCUGCAUUUUCUUCCCUGGCCCCUAGUCCUGCACCGAUUUCUCCUUUUCGAAUGUAUUCCUCCUGCCACCUUCUCUGGGCAACUUCGUGCGACUACAGAACCACUGUCCUGAGGAGCUAGAGGCCUCCUCUCUGACCAUCCAGAGCCCAAAUCCACAGCUUCCCCAAAUUUCAUCAGCUGCCACUUGACGACUUCUCCCCGUCUCUCUGAGGCCCGGAAACCACGGCUGGAGGUGGGGAGGGGAUGGCGGCUGAGGUCCAUUCCUCAUUCUCAGACCUCAUUGCUCAGUUGCACUAUUUGGGGCACAGAAUAAUCACCAAAAGUGAGAAAAACGAGUUUGGGUGGCUGGGGAGGACUUUGGGACUCUUGAUGCAAGGCGCAACUUGAGAAAAUUCUGGGUGUGAUAUUUGCACAGACACCCUCCUUUCAAAAACAGCCACCCCCCAAGCUAUUCUCAGCUCCACACCUGCAGCCCCAGCUAAGGUACCAGGUCUCCUGAGCAAGGCAGAGAGAAGCCUUGAGCCUUCUCUGUGUCUUCUUUCAAGAACCCCGCUGUGUCUUCUUUCAAGAUUUUUUUUUUGAGACAGUUUCAAGAUUUUUGUUUUGUUUUUGAGAUGGAGUCUCACUGUGUCACCCAGGCUGAGGUGGCAGUGGUUCAAUCUCCGUUCACUGCCACCUCCACCUCCCGGGUUCAAGCGAUUCUCCUGCUUCAGCCUCUCGAGUAGCUGGGACUACAGGCACCUGCCACCAUGUCUGGCUAAUUUUUGUAUUUUUAGUAGAGACAGGGUUUCACUACGUUGGCCAGGCUGGUCUCAAACUCCUGACCUCAAGUGAUCCGCCCGCCUCGGCCUCCCCAAUUGCUGGGAUUACAGGCGUGAGCCACUGUGCCCGGCCUUCUUCUUUCAAGUUAUAUAGAAUGGAGCAUGGGGGUGGCAGUGGCUAGGGACAUUUCCUGGGGACACUCUCCCCUAACCCCCCAGAAGGACUUCACAAAAACCUGUGGAUAAUGGAAGGGAUGUUACGGUACAAACGUAUAUUUAUGUGUGUGUGUGUGUAUGUGUGUGCGCGCGCGCGUGUGCACAUAGGCGUGAUGUCUGUGACCCUCCUCUCCUCGUCACAUUUCCCCCAGAAUGAAUGCUGUCCUGUCUGCUCAUGUUUGUGUUGAAGCUGCCAAAGUCGGGGAGCUCUGGUCCUGCCCAGACCCCUUUGGAAUUGCUGGCCCAUCCUCCCACUGGAGAGCUGGGGUGCAGCUCACCUUGGGGAAGGAAACCUCAUGCCUCAGAGUAAUUUCUUGUGAAUGCAAAGCCUGGGGGAGCGGGUCUUUGGGGGGCAAGGAGCCAGUCAGGGGCUUGUUUCCCCUCAUAGAGCUCCCCAGACGUGCCUCCGCAAUGCCUGAAACCCAGACCUAGGCUAAUAAACGGUUCAAUUUCUG
rnacentral:lncRNA from 10 species